UUGAUUAAGUAUUCAUCUUAGUUAACUUAAAAUAAAUUAAUUAAUUAUCUUGCUUAAUUCACGUAUUAACUUAUUUGGUUCAAGUACUUUCUAAAUAAAAAAAUUAUUCAUAAAAAUUUACAUAUAUAAUAAUGUAAAAUUCUCGGUCCCUACACCCUUAGGGUAUAUCAAAGGGUAUGCUUAGGUGUAAUAAGUUAUAU
rnacentral:lncRNA from 1 species